UUCAUGGCUUGUCUUCUGCUUCUCUGCAGGGCAUCCUCUGAAAUGCUCCCAGCCUUUGGCAAGAGAAGGAAGGAGGCCCAAACCAGUCCCUGAGCCAGAGGCAGAACUCCGUCAUCUUCUCUCCUAGCAACUUGAAAUUGAUGGUGUUGACAUGAGGUCCUACAGGACAGUGCCCUCUGCCCACUUGGGCUCCCAGCCAUGCCCAGAAGGCUCCAUGAUGUCAGCUGCAAAACAGUCAACAAUCACAUGUACCCACCCCUAAACACUGAGACCCUAAAGUGACUCUUGUAAUCCAAGAGAUGAGUUUUGGCCCCAAUCUAGGCCAAUAUCCGCCGACUUUCCCCUGAGUCCCCUGAACAGACUUCGAGGAGGGCUUUCUCUUGAUCAGCUCUCCCCAGAUCCUCACAACCUCCAGGACCCUCCGUUUGAAAGCGGAGCCCAUUGUCCUGGUUCUCUCCCCUCUUGAUUGUUACUGAUGGUGGGGACUUGUUCGGACACCUCUGGAAACACAAUCAUAAUCAGAGCAUCUUGCAUGUUCGGACUGUUGGUUCGCGCUCAUGCUUAACACUGAGUGAAUCAACUGAGGUGAUAUACUGGGGACGCGGACUGAGCCAAGCCAGGAAUGACCUCUUCAGGCCUCAGAUUCUGGUUCAGAGCAGCAGAGACCAAUUUCGUCAAGGCCUUCAUCUGGACAAGGGCUCACAUGACCCAACCCAGCCUGUGUGGCCCUCCCAGACCGUGAAGGGACAGUCCUCCCGGCUGCUUCUGACCCCUACUCAGCGGAGGCAAGUCCUCUUCGCCCACGUACCCCUACAUGCC
rnacentral:lncRNA from 1 species